GCUCCUCCCCGGUCCAGACACCGAGCAGGUCACUUUAAGGGAGCACCGCUAGGACAGAGUUGCGACGAGCAAAGCCCGUGCAGACAAAGGAGCCGGAAGCGGAAGUGUGCGCGGAGGCUUCUGGGAAAUGUAGUCCCUCCCUGCCCCGCGCGGGGACGGCCUGCCUCCGCCGUGGCCUCCCCGGCUCCCGCGUGUGCUGCGCUCAGAGACAAGCCGUCGCACGGCCCUAAGAAGCCAACCUCUCCAUGAUAGGCCCAUCAGAAUGUGCUUCUACUCGGUUCUACUGGGACAAGACUGAAGCUGGUUGAGCUGUUGGUGUCUUCGUUGUCACUUCCAGAAGCAGAAGGUGCUGAGAAGGUGAAUACUCCAACUUCUAGAACAAACCCGCAGGCUUACCACGGCCUUUACCACCCACCCCGCUUCCAUAGAGGAGGAGAAUCUCUAUGCAAAUACAGCCUAUUCCGUCUUCAUAUCUAUGCCCUGGAUCCUGUCUUUCUAAGCUCUUUUCUACCCAGAAUACACAUCUGACUCU